ensembl:lncRNA
CCAGUCCAGGCCCUUCAACUGUCCCUUCUGUGACAUACUUUGUGGGGUCACUGAAUACAGCCCCACUGGACUGUGAUGUCAGAGAUGCCCCUGGGGUUGUGCAAAGCUGUGGCCUCCUCCUGUGGCCCCUGCUCUCUCUGGAUAUGCCCCUCCCUACCUUCGUGCCUCUUGAGAUGUGCAGUCUAGAAUUCUGCACAGAGAGGGGCAACCCCAUCUCCUACAUUUGAGACAUGUGUGGUCCAACAGCAGUAUAAGGGAUCAAACCUGCACCCUCUGCACUGGAAGGAGAAGUCUUAACAACUGGAGCUCCUGGGAAGUCUCAAUCUUGGCCCUCUGCACCACUCCACAUUGUGGUUGCCAAAGCCUCAUACCUCCUCUUUCUGAUGGUCUCUUCUCCCAGCGAUAACCCUGAGGUCCAUUAGGAACUCUGGAUCCUUUCCUCUCAGGUAGAAAGGCCUUGAGUGCCUCUAUCUUAUAACUCCGAAGAGUGCCAGGCACUGUACGAGGUUCAGCUAAGCUGGCCUGGGGAUGGUAUAUUUCAGAACAAGGAAGCAGCCUGGACAUGACGUUUGCCAAGCAGGAAUCGCACAGCAAGCUGGACACAUAUAGAUAUCCCAAAUGGGAACAACGGUUGUGUACCCUGGGAUGACUUGAGUGUAGCUGCUUUAGUUUAUGAAUUUCACCUGUUUAAAAAAAAACAACGCUGUGAGACAGAGCUCGUACUUGUCAAAUGCCUCCUAUGUGCCGGAAACUUGUUACUAUGUCUUCACCUGUGAGAUGAGGAUGACAAUAAAAGCAACCUCUCCAGUUGAUGAAGGAUCAAAGAGAGCGAUGGACUCACUUAGCAUGGAGCUAGCCCUUGUCAGACCCUUGAUAAAUAUUAUUAUCUUUGUCAUUAUUAUCACCAUUCUCACAGUAGUUCUGUGAAGUAGAUGUUGCCAAAAUUGCCUGAUGCCCGAGGAACUGAGGCUCAGGGAGAAGCACCCAAGGUCACCACCAGGACACUAACCCAGGGCUGUUGGGCUCAGCUCUUAUGCUCUGUUCAUGCUGAGCUAUAAAGGAGAGGCCAGGAGAUAAAAUGAAGGCUCAGAAGAAGAACAUAGAAGGCAGCCAGGCCUGGGGCAAGUGUGCAUGGCAUUAGGUCCCUCUACUGGGCGAGGAGGCCUCUGAAAGGCAGGUGCAGAGAACAUGGAUAGAGUCAGCUGGCCUGCACCUACAGCCACAGUUACAGCCGCUUCAUGUAGGCCGUGCUCAGGCCCUGCAGAGCACCCAGAGGACCAGCAGAGACAAAGUUGCAAGGCAGACUGGGGCUGAACCCAAGUCCCAGGGUGCUGGACAUGGGACGGCCAGGGCACCUGAAGGGGCCAUCUCGUGGAACCUGGGUGGUGAGAGCUUAGGAAAGCUUUAUCAUUUGCAUGGACCACAUUUUUGACUUGUUCUCACUUACUCUUAUCCAAGUAUCACAUUGCAAUGAUUAAAAAGUAAAAAUUAAGGAAUUUCCCUGGUGAUCCAGUGGUUAAGACUUCUGCUACGUGGGGCAUAGGGUUUGAUCCUUCACCAGGGAAAUAAGAUCCCACAUGCUACAUGGAGCAUGGCCAAAAAAUAAGUAGGAAUUAAGGGUGUGGACUAGACACGUUUCACAAAACGUGGAUGCAGAUGAUGGCCUACCCUAUCGGCUGCCGUGUUGGCCACACUUGGCAUGGGCAGUGUGUACCACCCAUGUGACAUCACUCACCUAUGCAGGCAGCAACCAGGUGAGAGAAAACAGCUGCAGUGGGGACAGCAUCAGCUUUGGGGCUGGAAACCUCUGGCUUGGCUCUUUGCUCUGUGACCUGAGGGAAGUUACUUAACUUCUCUGAGCCUCUGCUGCCCCCUCUAAAAUAAUGCCAACUUCUUAGGAUUAAUUAAGGGUCAAGAGAGAACCAUGGAAUUAAUUAGCAUAGAGGCUACACUUGAUAAAUAAGUAAGAUAAGGAAGCACUUGAUAAUAAUGAUGGUGAUGAUGAGGGUGAUGUUUAUUAAAUACUAUUAUUGUUAUCAUACUCACAACAACCCCAAAAGGUUUCUCCAGCAGAUACUGCCCCAAUUUCCUCAGCAGAUGCCCUCAGUGUCCCCAUCUGUAAAAUGGGAAUAGCACCAAUGGCUCCAGAGUGUGGCCAUCAAGAUGAAAUGAGCAGGUGCAUACGGCCCAGUGCCUGGCACACAGGAGGCCUUCUGUUACUUAGCCUCUCCCCUCCUCCUAUUAGCUGGCACAUCAGUGGGGCUGGUUGCUGUCACUAUUCUGACUUGCUGGGAGUCUAUGGCCUUUCUUCCCAGCAUGCUUCAUUCCAGAGGGGCCUCAGUCUGAAAGUAAGGCUGGGGAGGCAGUGAUGGGCCCAGGAGACAGAGAGCAAGGCCAUGCUGAAG